GGCUCGAUGGCGGACGGUCCGCACCUGCAUUCUGUAAACGGAUGAACAUGAAGAUCGUGCAUGCAGGCGCCGCCCGUUCAACUCGGGCUCGAGCCA